GACGAACGCUGGCGGCGCGCUUAACACAUGCAAGUCGAACGGAAAGGCCUGCUUUCCCUUGUGGAUUGCGGGUACUCGAGUGGCGAACGGGUGAGUAACACGUGAGUGAUCUGCCCCCAACUUGGGGAUAAGCCUGGGAAACUGGGUCUAAUUCCCGAUAGGACUGCAGGGUGGUGGCUGUGGUGGAAAACGAUGUUCUAGUGGUUGGGGAUGAGCUCGCGGCCUAUCAGCUUGUUGGUGGGAUAAUGGCCUACCAAGGCGGCGACGGGUAGCCGGCCUGAGAGGGCGGACGGCCACAUUGGGCCUGCGACACGGCCCAGACUACUACGGGAGGCAGCCGUGGGGAAUAUUGCACAAUGGGCGGAAGCCUGAUGCAGCGACGCCGCGUGGGGGAUGACGGCCUUCGGGUUGUAAACUCCUUUCGACCGCGAGGAAGCCACCUGGUUGGAAGGGUGGUGACGGUAGUGGUAGAAGAAGCACCGGCUAACUACGUG
rnacentral:rRNA from 1 species